CACGUAGGGCGCGAGCGUUGUCCGGAAUUAUUGGGCGUAAAGAGCUCGUAGGCGGCCUGUUGCGUCCGCUGUGAAAGCCCGGGGCUUAACCCCGGGUCUGCAGUGGAUACGGGCAGGCUAGAGGUAGGUAGGGGAGAAUGGAAUUCCCGGUGUAGCGGUGAAAUGCGCAGAUAUCGGGAGGAACACCGGCGGCGAAGGCGGUUCUCUGGGCCUUACCUGACGCUGAGGAGCGAAAGCGUGGGGAGCGAACAGG
rnacentral:rRNA from 1 species